rnacentral:rRNA from 1 species
GACGUAGGGGGCCAGCGUUGUUCGGAAUUACUGGGUGUAAAGGGUUCGUAGGCGGUGUGGCAAGUCGGGAGUGAAAUUUCUGGGCUCAACUCAGAGACUGCUUCCGAAACUGCUGUGCUUGAGUGUGGGAGAGGCGCGUGGAAUUGCAGGUGUAGCGGUGAAAUGCGUAGAUAUCUGCAGGAACACCCGUGGCGAAAGCGGCGCGCUGGACCACUACUGACGCUGAGGAACGAAAGCGUGGGGAGCAAACAGG